rnacentral:rRNA from 14 species
AAGUGACGGGGCAGCUUAGUUGGUGCGUGCUGACGGAAUAGCACGUUGAAGCGCAAGCGAUAGUACGACAAGGCCACGGCCGCGUCGAUAAUCCAGCGGCGCUGCCUCCAAGAAAAGCGAGCAUUGCGGCCCGUACCGUAAACCGACACAGGUGGUCGGGAUGAGAAUUCUAAGGCGCUCGAGAGAUUCAUGGUUAAGGAACUAGGCAAAAUGGACGCGUAACUUCGGGAGAAGCGUCGCUCCCCUCCGGGGGAGCCGCAGUGAAUAGGCCCAGGCGACUGUUUAUCAAAAACACAGGGCUCUGCCAAAUCGAAAGAUGACGUAUAGGGCCUGA